GAUGAACGCUGGCGGCGUGCUUAACACAUGCAAGUCGAACGGAAAGGCCCAAGCUUGCUUGGGUACUCGAGUGGCGAACGGGUGAGUAACACGUGGGUGAUCUGCCCUGCACUUCGGGAUAAGCCUGGGAAACUGGGUCUAAUACCGGAUAGGACCACUUCUUGGAUGUUGUGGUGGAAAGUUUUUUCGGUGUGGGAUGAGCUCGCGGCCUAUCAGCUUGUUGGUGGGGUAAUGGCCUACCAAGGCGUCGACGGGUAGCCGGCCUGGGAGGGUGUACGGCCACAUUGGGACUGAGAUACGGCCCAGACUCCUACGGGGGGCAGCAGUGGGGAAUAUUGCACAAUGGGCGCAAGCCUGAUGCAGCGACGCCGCGUGGGGGAUGACGGCCUUCGGGUUGUAAACUCCUUUCGCUAGGGACGAAGCGUUUUGUGACGGUACCUGGAGAAGAAGCACCGGCUAACUACGUG
rnacentral:rRNA from 1 species